GACGAAGGAUGCAAGCGUUAUCCGGAUUCAUUGGGUUUAAAGGGAGCGUAGGUGGCCUUAUAAGUCAGUGGUGAAAUCUCUCGGCUUAACUGAGAAAUUGCCAUUGAUACUGUAGGGCUUGAGUAUAGUUGCCGUUGGCGGAAUAUGACAUGUAGUGGUGAAAUACAUAGAGAUGUCAUAGAACACCGAUUGCGAAGGCAGCUAACGAAACUAUAACUGACACUGAGGCUCGAAAGUGCGGGGAUCAAACAGG
rnacentral:rRNA from 1 species